GACGAACGCGGGCGGCGUGCUUAACACAUGCAAGUCGAACGGAAAGGCCCUGCUUUUGUGGGGUGCUCGAGUGGCGAACGGGUGAGUAACACGUGAGUAACCUGCCCUUGACUUUGGGAUAACUUCAGGAAACUGGGGCUAAUACCGGAUAGGAGCUCCUGCUGCAUGGUGGGGGUUGGAAAGUUUCGGCGGUUGGGGAUGGACUCGCGGCUUAUCAGCUUGUUGGUGGGGUAGUGGCUUACCAAGGCUUUGACGGGUAGCCGGCCUGAGAGGGUGACCGGCCACAUUGGGACUGAGCUACGGCCCAGACUCCUACGGGAGGCAGCAGUGGGGAAUAUUGCACAAUGGGCGGAAGCCUGAUGCAGCAACGCCGCGUGCGGGAUGACGGCCUUCGGGUUGUAAACCGCUUUCGCCUGUGACGAAGCGUGAGUGACGGUAAUGGGUAAAGAAGCACCGGCUAACUACGUG
rnacentral:rRNA from 1 species